UACGAAGGGUGCAAGCGUUACUCGGAAUUACUGGGCGUAAAGGGUGCGUAGGUGGUUGUUUAAGUCUGUUGUGAAAGCCCCGGGCUCAACCUGGGAAUGGCAAUGGAUACUGGACAGCUAGAGUGCGGUAGAGGGUAGUGGAAUUCCUAGUGUAGAGGUGAAAUUCGUAGAUAUUAGGAAGAACACCAGUGGCGAAGGCGGCUCACUGGCCCGGUACUGACGCUGAGGCGCGAAAGCGUGGGGAGCAAACAGG
rnacentral:rRNA from 1 species